UACAGAGGUCUCAAGCGUUGUUCGGUUUCAUUGGGCGUAAAGGGUGCGUAGGCGGCGCGGUAAGUCGGGUGUGAAAUCUCGGGGCUUAACUCCGAAACUGCAUUCGAUACUGCCGUGCUUGAGGACUGGAGAGGAGACUGGAAUUUACGGUGUAGCGGUGAAAUGCGUAGAUAUCGUAAGGAAGACCAGUGGCGAAGGCGGGUCUCUGGACAGUUCCUGACGCUGAGGCACGAAGGCCAGGGGAGCAAACGGG
rnacentral:rRNA from 1 species